AUACGUAGGCAGCAAGCGUUGUUCGGAAUUACUGGGCGUAAAGGGUGCGUAGGCGGUGUUCUAAGUUUGGUGUGAAAUCUCCCGGCUUAACUGGGAGGGUGCGCCGAAAACUGGGAUGCUUGAGUGCGGGAGAGGAAAGCGGAAUUCCUGGUGUAGCGGUGAAAUGCGUAGAGAUCAGGAGGAACACCUGCGGUGUAGACGGCUUUCUGGACCGUAACUGACGCUGAGGCACGAAAGCGUGGGGAGC
rnacentral:rRNA from 1 species